AGACUGACCUGGCAGGGGAGGCACCAUGACCACGAAGGUGGUUUUCCCAAAGUGAGGCUCAUCCGUUGCACUCCGGACCUGCUGACCCCUGCGAUUUCCCCAAAUGCGGGAAACUCGACUGCAUGAUUUGUGGUGGAACCUAAGAAUUUUAAGAUGCUGUGAU